GUUUCCCAUAAAAUUCCGGGUGUUUCCCCUGGAAUUCCGGCUGUUUCCCCUGGAAUUCUGGGUGUUUUCCCUGGAUUUGGGCUGUUUCCCCUGGAUUUUGGGGUGUUUCCCCUGGAAUUCCGGGUGUUUUCCCUGGAUUUGGGGUGUUUUCCCCAGAAUUCCGGGUGUUUUCCCUGGAAUUCCGGGUGUUUUCCCUGGAUUUUGGGGUGUUUCCCCUGGAUUUUGGGUGUUUUUCCCGGCAUUCCGGGUGUUUUCCCUGGAAUUCCGGCUGUUUCCCCUGGAUUUUGGGUGUUUCCCCUGGAUUUUGGGGUGUUUUCCCUGGAUUUUGGGUGUUUCCCCCGGCAUUCCGGGUGUUUUCCCUGGAUUUUGGGGUGUUUUUCCCGGAAUUCCGGGUGUUGUUUCCCAUGGAAUUCUGGUCCCGCAGAACCUGGACCUGACCUCGCACCGGAUGAUCCACGAGGGACCCCUGGCCUGGCGCGUGGGCAAGGACAAGAGCGUGGGUACGGACUGGGACGGACUGGGACGGACUGGGAUGGACUGGGAGGGACUGGGAUGGACUGGGACGGACUGGGAUGGACUGGGAUGGACUGGGAUGGACUGGGAUUGGAUUGGGAUGGACUGGGAGGGACUGGGAUUGGACUGGGAUUGGACUGGGACGGACUGGGAGGGACUGGGAUGGACUGGGACGGACUGGGAUGGACUGGGAUGGACUGGGAGGGACUGGGAUGGACUGGGAUGGACUGGGAUGGACUGGGACGGACUGGGACGGACUGGGAUGGACUGGGAUGGACUGGGACGGACUGGGAGAGAAUUCCCAUGGAAUUCCCGUUGCUGCAGAGCUGCCCCUGCUGCCAAAAUUCCCCAAAAGACCUAAAAAAAAAUCCCCCAAAAAAUCGAAAAAAUGCCCAAAAAAUGCCUAAAAAAUUUUUUAAAAAAUCCAAAGAAAUUAAAAAAAAAUUCCCAAAAGUCCCCUCAAAAAUUCCCAAGAAAAUCUCCGAAAGAUCCCAAAAAUUCAAACAAAAUGCCAAAAAAAAUGCCUAAAAAAUGCCCAAAAAAUUCGAAAAAAAAACCCAAAAAAUCAAAAAAAAUUCAAAAAAAAAUCCAAAAAAAAUCCAAAAAAUUCCCAAAAAAUUCCCAAAAAAUUCCCAAAAAAUUCCUGAAAAAUUCCCAGGAAAAUCUCCAAAAGAUCCCAAAAAAUCCAACAAAAUGCCCAAAAAAUGCCCAAAAAAAUGCCUAAAAAAUUAAAAAAAAAACCCAAAAAAAUCCAAAAAAAUUCCAAAAAAAAUCCAAAAAAUUCCCAAAAAAUUCCCAAAAAAUUCCCGAGGGAUUCCCAUGGAAUUCCUAUGGAAUUCUGGUUGCUGCA
rnacentral:lncRNA from 1 species